GAUGAACGCUGGCGGCGUGCCUAAUACAUGCAAGUCGAGCGAACAGAUGAGGAGCUUGCUCCUCUGACGUUAGCGGCGGACGGGUGAGUAACACGUGGAUAACCUACCUAUAAGACUGGGAUAACUUCGGGAAACCGGAGCUAAUACCGGAUAAUAUAUUGAACCGCAUGGUUCAAUAGUGAAAGACGGUUUUGCUGUCACUUAUAGAUGGAUCCGCGCCGCAUUAGCUAGUUGGUAAGGUAACGGCUUACCAAGGCAACGAUGCGUAGCCGACCUGAGAGGGUGAUCGGCCACACUGGAAGUGAGACACGGUCCAGACUCCUACGGGAGGCAGCAGUAGGGAAUCUUCCGCAAUGGGCGAAAGCCUGACGGAGCAACGCCGCGUGAGUGAUGAAGGUCUUCGGAUCGUAAAACUCUGUUAUUAGUGAAGAACAAAUGUGUAAGUAACUAUGCACGUCUUGACGGUACCUAGUCAGAAAGCCACGGCUAACUACGUG
rnacentral:rRNA from 1 species